UUCGUAGGUGGUGCGGCAAGUUGGAAGUGAAAUCUCUGGGCUUAACCCAGAGGCUGCUUUCAAAACUGCCGUGCUCGAGUGCGAGAGAGGUCAGUGGAAUUGCAGGUGUAGCGAUGAAAUGCGUAGAUAUCUGCAGGAACACCCGUGGCGAAGGCGGCUGACUGGAUCGCAACUGCACUGAGGAACAAAGCUAGGGGAGCAAACA
rnacentral:rRNA from 1 species